AGAUCUCUCUCUCUGCGGAAGCCAGCCACCGCUCUCCAAGGACUCUCGAGCAGCUCCAUCUACAGAUUCACAUGGAGAAGAAUUAAGGGUUCCUGCCAAUCACCAGCACCACUUUGCCAGCCUUGUAAGUGGGCCACCUUGGAAUUGGAGCCUCCAGUUCCUACUGACAUCUGACUGCAACAUCAUGAGAGACCCUGAGUUUGAACCACCCAGCUGAGCUGCUUCUGAGCUAACCCACUGAAACCGUGAAAGUACCUGAAUGAAACAACACCCAGUAGCCACUAGCACACCUAGCUCCCAGAUCUGUUUUUGAUGCCAUUCUUCAGUAAAAGGAAGCAAGGCUGCUUGGAGAAAUUGCUAUCAAGGACUGGGGUAGAAAAUAUACAAGAUGAAAUUGGAGCAUCUUGUAGUGCUUGAAAACAGUUGGCAUCUGUGUGAAGAUGUGAAUGGAGGAGGCAGAGUAGGCAGUGAGUGCCGCAGCCACAGCUUGUGUUCUCUGCAGCCCUGGCACAGAAGAUAGGAACACUCAUGGGGGAUGCGGCCACUGUGAUGUCUUCCCACACAAGAAGUGCCAAGUGCUUUUCUCAUGCUUUUCUGGAUUGUCCCAUGGUGGACGAGUCAGCAGGAGUGAGAUGGAGCAGCACAGUAGAGGGGUACCUGGCAAGGCCCGGAGGGAGGACCCCCUGCCCCAAACAUUUCAAUGAUAUCAGGUUCCUUAGAUCCUGGGAUGAGGAGGUGGACCAGCAGAAGGUGGGCUUGUGAAGGCAGCCCGGGGUCCAAAUCCUCCUGGCUCUUCAGCUUAGCGGGAUGUCACCUUCAGCGUCUGAAAGCUGGGUUUGAUGCGUCUGGAAAGGCGUCCCUGACAGGCGUCGUUGCCAGGAGCCCCUAGUGCCACCAGCAGCCAGCAGGGGAGGGCGUCCUCUGCCCGCUCACUUCUGACCCUUCUCUCGUUGCACCCGGAACAUGGUGCAGCUGGGAGCAGCCUGGGCUGCGCGGAAGGCUCAGAUUUGGGGACGGCCCUUGCCAGUGACUGUGAGCUGGGGUGUCUUGGAAACUCCCAGUCUCAGCUUCUCCAUUUAUAAGAUGAGAAUGAUCAUACCAGACUCAGGCAAGGUUGUUUGUGCAUUAGUGAAAUCAGACGUAUUAAAUAAAGUACCACAUUGAUCGUGGAGUUGUUGAAUAACCAAGAACACGCCUAUCUGUCUCCAAAAAAUAAA
rnacentral:lncRNA from 1 species